CAGGUGGAGCGGUCUGCCGCCCGAAAGGGAGGAAAGUCCGGACAGGACAGGGCAACCCGCUGCGGAAAGCGCAGAUAGGGGCGACCUUAUGUCAGGCGUAACAGAAAACAACAGCCGCAAGGCAAUGGUGAAAACGCGAGGCAAGAGCUCACGACGUGGCGCAGCGAUACGCUACGGGUACGCCGCCGGGUCCUGCAAGACCAAAUAUACUGGCAGAUGAGGACGGCCCGUCCGAUGUCAGGGGGUAGGUUGCGAAGAUAAAUGGCAGAACUGAACAGAAACCGGCUUACGGCUCCACCUUUUAU
rnacentral:RNase_P_RNA from 1 species